rnacentral:rRNA from 1 species
AAACCAACUGGGAUUACCUUAGUAACGGCGAGUGAAGCGGUAAAAGCUCAAAUUUGAAAUCUGGUACUUUCAGUGCCCGAGUUGUAAUUUGUAGAAUUUGUCUUUGAUUAGGUCCUUGUCUAUGUUCCUUGGAACAGGACGUCAUAGAGGGUGAGAAUCCCGUUUGGCGAGGAUACCUUUUCUCUGUAAGACUUUUUCGAAGAGUCGAGUUGUUUGGGAAUGCAGCUCAAAGUGGGUGGUAAAUUCCAUCUAAAGCUAAAUAUUGGCGAGAGACCGAUAGCGAACAAGUACAGUGAUGGAAAGAUGAAAAGAACUUUGAAAAGAGAGUGAAAAAGUACGUGAAAUUGUUGAAAGGGAAGGGCAUUUGAUCAGACAUGGUGUUUUUUAAAUGUGCAAGUCUCUCGUGGACAUGUGCCUCUGGGAAAUUAACACUGGGCCAACAUCAGUUCUGGCGGCAGGAUAAAUCAUUAAGAAUGUAGCUACCUCGGGUAGUGUUAUAGCUUUUUGGAAUACUGCC